rnacentral:rRNA from 1 species
AGUGGCGAACGGGUGAGUAACACGUGAGCAACCUGCCCCUGACUCUGGGAUAAGCGCUGGAAACGGCGUCUAAUACUGGAUACGAACCAUGAAGGCAUCUUCAGUGGUUGGAAAGAUUUAUUGGUUGGGGAUGGGCUCGCGGCCUAUCAGCUUGUUGGUGAGGUAAUGGCUCACCAAGGCGUCGACGGGUAGCCGGCCUGAGAGGGUGACCGGCCACACUGGGACUGAGACACGGCCCAGACUCCUACGGGAGGCAGCAGUGGGGAAUAUUGCACAAUGGGCGCAAGCCUGAUGCAGCAACGCCGCGUGAGGGAUGACGGCCUUCGGGUUGUAAACCUCUUUUAGCAGGGAAGAAGCGAAAGUGACGGUACCUGCAGAAAAAGCGCCGGCUAACUACGUGCCAGCAGCCGCGGUAAUACGUAGGGCGCAAGCGUUAUCCGGAAUUAUUGGGCGUAAAGAGCUCGUAGGCGGUUUGUCGCGUCUGCUGUGAAAUCCGGAGGCUCAACCUCCGGCCUGCAGUGGGUACGGGCAGACUAGAGUGCGGUAGGGGAGAUUGGAAUUCCUGGUGUAGCGGUGGAAUGCGCAGAUAUCANGAGGAACACCGAUGGCGAAGGCAGAUCUCUGGGCCGUAACUGACGCUGANGAGCGAAAGGGUGGNGAGCAAACAGGCUUAGAUACCCUGGUAGUCCACCCCGUANACGUUGGGAACUAGUUGUGGGGUCCAUUCCACGGAUUCCGUGACGCAGCUAACGCAUUAAGUUCCCCGCCUGGNGAGUACGGNCGCAAGGCUNAAACUCAAAGGAAUUGACGGGGACCCGCACAAGCGGNGGAGCAUGCGGAUUAAUUCNAUGCNACGCGAANAACCUUACCAAGGCUUGACAUAU